GGGCCAGUGGUCUAGCUCGGUAUGACAUCCGCUUGACUUGCGGAGGAUCACCAGUUCGAAUCUGGUCUGGCCCA
rnacentral:tRNA from 1 species